CGCCCCGCGCGCGCCGCCGUCCCGGACCUCACCUGCUGCUUUUCCGGGGCAGGGGCAAAUCCUUCUGGAAGGGAACGCGAGAGAAGGACGAAGAUCAGCAUGGACCCGUAACAGCUUCCCACGAAGCCACCCCGCUGCCCAGAAGCAGGGGCUAUGCGGAUGGUCCCUGGUUAGCAGGGCCACCUUCUCCUUUGACCAGGAGUUGAUCCCCAGGGACUAACACAGGCUCAAGUACUCUGAAGGGACCUCCAGGUGCUGGAUCGCCGAAAGGAGUCGCUGCUGGGACCUAGACACUAGGCUUCAGCAACCCUACCACGGCCUGGGCAAAAUCAAGACAUGGAAUUUCUGGCCACGAGGCCCAGGGCUCCAGACUCAGGUGAAGUGGACCUUGGAAGGUGAGCCUGUAAGGGUCUCUAUCACCCACGAAGUCCUCGGACCCAACCCCUGUGGCCGGCGCACCCGAGCAUUCUAGAGCUGAACAAAGGGCACGGAGGAGCUGCGGACGUUCGGAUCCUUGGCGCCUGCCGCCUGCCGGGCAUGCACCCGUGCAACCCCAGCUCUGGAACCCGCGCUGGUCUUUCCGGAUAGGCGGAGGGAUGGCGCGGAGGCCAGGCCCUCCGAGUUUGGAAGCCCCGGGGUAUCACCGGGCGACAUUCCCUGAGAGGGGAACCGGUGCGUGGGCUGUGUCCCGGCGCAGGAGGGGUUAACUUGGCCAGAAGGGAAGAGGUGGGGCAGCCCUGGGCGAGGGUCGCCAAGCUGAGCACUGCCGGCUCCCUCUUUUCUCGGAUCCCAUUCUCUUCAACCAACCCCGAAAGAAGGGUUAGGACUUCGGAGAGAGCUAGGUGCCAAACCCGGCGAGAUGGGCUGUGUGAAACAGUGAGCCUUCCAGCGCACGCCUGGCCUUAGCAUUAUCCAUCCUCGGAUCGCCCGGGAAGUCCCUCCUGCUAUCUGCUCUUCGUUUUUCCUGCCCCACUGGCGACUCGGCUCCCCCAGGCCCUGACCUCAGGAGCAGCGCAGAGAUGCACCCAGGAAGCCGAAAGUACAGCUCGAGUCUGGACGCACACAGGGCUUCCUCUCAGCUCCAGAGCAGCAAGCGAAGAAGACUCAUCUGCAAGGAAGCUCUGCAGGCACAGGCCCAGAGCAAAUUUUGGGACCAACCCUUGAUCGGCCCCUCUCUGAGAUCAGUGUCGGGUGUCCAAAGUCUCAGAGGCGCUGCCCGAGUCGGGAACAGGGGAUACUUUUCGGCCUCAGAACCCCUUACCCCGGAGGUGGGUGCUCUUGACGUGCAGUUUCGUCCCCGCUUCCCUUCCUUCCCCUCAACUCUCAGUGUCCCACUCCGCGCAGUGGACCCGCGCGUCCUGCGCAGGCGCGGCCGGGGAGCCGAGUCUUCCAGGCUGCAAGGAGCUAAAAAUCGCUCCCGCCCACCUGCAAGCUGGGCUGGACCUGCGGAUCGCUGGGGUGGGGGGUAGAGGAGGGUCGAAUGGAGGUGCCAUGCUGUCUGGGUGUCCACCCAGUGAGGGCAGCAGGAAGGGUCCCGGUGGUCGAUCGGGAGCGCGGAGGGCACGCCAGGGUCCCCGCCCGGGAAUGAGCUCCUGGGGCGACUGCGGCGAGGCUGCCCAUGCAAAUCUGUUUACGGCGCCGGGGCCCCCAGGGGCGCGAGCCCUGGGGCUGUAACUUUGCUCAGCCCAGGUCACUGCGGACUGGCGAGGAGCUCGACACUCGGAGGCUGCAGUCAGCCCUCCGGCGUCCCCUCAGCGGCUGCGCGCCCCGGGCUCCUGCAUCCCGCGGUGCCCGACCCGGGCGGGCCGAGGGGCGGGGUCCUACACUGCCGUGGCUGUGCCCGUGGGGGGCACCCUAGGCCGGGGAGGCGGCGCCCCGCAGGCCCCAGCACAAGCCCCCCGCCCCCCGCGCCCCGCCCCGUAGCCGAUUCCCGUCUCCGCCCCGCGUCCGGCGGCCGCGCGCACCUGCAGCCUCCGGCGGCGGAUCAGGCCCGAGUCGUCCAUGGCGGCGGCGGCGGCGGCUCGGCCGGGGGAGGAGGAGGAGGAGGAGGAGGAGGAGGAGGAGGCAGCGGAGGAGAAGCCGCAGGGACCCGGCGGUGGCGGCGGUGAGGGGGGGCGGGGCGGAGCGAGCGGGGCGGGCCCGGCGCCGUCACUGCGUCUGGGCGCCGGGUCUGGCCUCAGCUGCCGCCGCUGCUGGGGGAGUCUGGGGGGCAGAGAGGUGGAGCCUCCAGGUGCCCCCGAGGGGGGACGUGCACCUUGAGACCCUUCGGAGACAAACGCUUAUUCCUGGGGGAGACUCCGAGCCAAGGCGCCCUCCGGGGAGACUGCCCUGGAGACCCUCGGGGAGACGCCUCCCGUCCCCAGAGGUGGGGACCGGGUUCCUCGGCUGGUGCCCUCUCCGGUCAGAGCCGCCCUCCGGAAGGAGGGUUAAGACGCGCGAUGCGCAUCUACCAGCUCCCUGCGAUGAAUGUGAUGAGUGUGUGCUGCAAACGUGUAUAAAGAGCUGUUUUCCACCCUCGGAACCAUCUCUGGCAGACGUGUCUGAAAGUGCCUCUGUCGUCUCAAAGCCGCCGCGCCCCCCUCCCGCCCCCAUGACAUCGUGGGGGGCCCUGGGAAGAUACCCCGACACACCACGUGGUGGGGAACGGCCCCCACCCACAAGACCCUCGAGUAGGAGUCCCCUGGGGAGGUGCCCCAGAGGGUGGAGAGAGGGGAGGGCAGGUAUGCAAAAAAUUCUUCCAGCUUCCCCAGGAAUUUAAUCUGUAUGUUCGGUAAAUGGGCACUAAUAAAAAUUUUAAAAAUCAAAAAAGAAAAGCA